GGUCAUCUACAUUAUAUUUUAAUUUUUAAAAUCCAUCACAUGGAUUGUUUUGGUCAAGAUUUUACUAAAUUGAAACACACUGAUACAUUAACUCCUACUUAUUCAGAGGGGUCAAUUCCAUCUUGACUCACACACCGACUUUGCAAGUAUUUGACUAUACCCAAAAAUUUUUCAUCACUGAAUUAGAAAUUCAGAUAGUCCAACACCAAAGCAUAGCAAGUUGCUUGUAAGUCAUCGUGGUGA
rnacentral:lncRNA from 1 species